ACGUUCAGAGUGUCCGCCUGCUGACCAUUCCUGUGAAAGAGAGAGAGAGAGAGGCCAUUCGCCCCCUCUUUAUCCAUCCGCCUGAGACCCCACAUGACAAAAAGUCCAGUUGUUCCUUCACUGGUUCCAGAGGUUUCUUUCUCCAGUGGAAAAACAAUACUCCACUGCCCCAUCUGAGAAGCCAAGCCAUGGAUCGAGUACCCUGUGUGAGAAGACGUUCCGGCCCGCAACCCGAAACUUGCUGACACCAGUAUGAACGUGUGCUGCACACGACAAAAGAUUAGGUUAUGUAUAAAUAACUCUUCAGACAUCACCUAGGACUAAGCCACUUCUGAGAUCAAAAGCAAGAGGCAAUUCCCAUCCUGUACAGGUAACAAGACUGCAGGAAAAACAGAAAACACGAAGGAGGUGAAGGAAAAGAAACUAAGCACCAAAAUAUUUGUCAUUGUGAAGAGGCCACUGCACUCAGCUAUGGCAAAUAGCAACAAUGCGCUGGAAGGGAAAUGGAUCUGACAUACCUGUCCAAAGGGAGAGAGCAUAAACCUCAUUCUUUCAAUGAACCUCCUGAGUCGACUCAGCCAGAAUAAUUCCAGCACGUUGGAUUUGUGUGGUUUUCUCAGCUGAACACAAAUGAGACUAUGUCUGAAUGCUAUGGGAAUGGAGGAGUAAACUAAUACGUAGGACAGGAACUCUGUCAGGCAACAGAUCUGGUUCACUUGCCAAAGUCAAAGCUGACCUAUAAUUUUGAGAGUAUAUACACCUCAGCUCUGACAGAAUCGUCAUAAUGAUGGGGCGACUAAUCUGGUCAGAACGCAUCAAAUUCAGUUCCACUCAUCUGAGUACAGUAUUCUACUGCAGGAAGCAAACCUCAAUCUCUGAAGUUAUGAAGAUGUUGAGCGAUUUUAGAAAACUUAAUGUACAAAAAUGCAUUCCAUUUAAUUUAUGUCUGCCUUUGUUCAGAACAGCAAUCUGCUAAGUCCAUUGAAAUUAGUCCCAAUGUUAGAAACAAUGGCUCACAACUGAAAGAAAAACAGAAAUUGCUGGAAAAAACUCAGCAGGUGUGACAGACAGAAUUUGGCACAGAGGAAUUGGAGUCCGGUUCAGUUUCAGGUCCAGUUCACAAUUUUGUUUUAUUAUUUCUGGCUUACAACUGAGUUCGAGUCAGAGUCCUAGAGAUGUACAACAUGGAAACAGACCCUUCGGUCCAACCCGUCCACGCUGACCAGAUAUCCCAACC